UACGUAGGGUGCAAGCGUUGUCCGGAAUUAUUGGGCGUAAAGAGCUCGUAGGCGGUCUGUCACGUCGGCUGUGAAAACCCGAGGCUCAACCUCGGGCCUGCAGUCGAUACGGGCAAACUAGAGUACUGCAGGGGAGACUGGAAUUCCUGGUGUAGCGGUGAAAUGCGCAGAUAUCAGGAGGAACACCGAUGGCGAGGGCAGCUCGCUGGGACGGUACUGACGCUGAGACGCGAAAGCGUGGGGAGCGAACAGG
rnacentral:rRNA from 1 species